GACGAACGCUGGCGGCGUGCCUAAUACAUGCAAGUAGAACGCUGAAGGAGGAGCUUGCUUCUCUGGAUGAGUUGCGAACGGGUGAGUAACGCGUAGGUAACCUGCCUGGUAGCGGGGGAUAACUAUUGGAAACGAUAGCUAAUACCGCAUAAGAGUAGAUGUUGCAUGACAUAUGCUUAAAAGGUGCAAUUGCAUCACUACCAGAUGGACCUGCGUUGUAUUAGCUAGUUGGUGAGGUAACGGCUCACCAAGGCAACGAUACAUAGCCGACCUGAGAGGGUGAUCGGCCACACUGGGACUGAGACACGGCCCAGACUCCUACGGGAGGCAGCAGUAGGGAAUCUUCGGCAAUGGACGGAAGUCUGACCGAGCAACGCCGCGUGAGUGAAGAAGGUUUUCGGAUCGUAAAGCUCUGUUGUAAGAGAAGAACGAGUGUGAGAGU
rnacentral:rRNA from 1 species